CCCCUCUCAGGGUCACACCUGGAGAGUUUCCAGUACUCUACCAGUCUCGACUAUGGGAGGGAGAGUCAAGCAGAGCGAUACCCAUUCCAUUCCUAGCUUGGGCAGUGGCUAACGAGUGGAAGGCCAUCUGCUACAAGU
rnacentral:snoRNA from 1 species